rnacentral:rRNA from 1 species
GACGAACGCUGGCGGCGUGCCUAAUACAUGCAAGUCGAGCGGACCUUUCGGGGUCAGCGGCGGACGGGUGAGUAACACGUGGGCAAUCUGCCCGAUACUCUGGGAUAACGCUUGGAAACGAGUGCUAAUACCGGAUGGUCUUCUUGGCCGCAUGGCCGAGAAGGAAAAGACGCGUUCGCGUCGGUGUCGGAUGAGCCCGCGGCGCAUUAGCUAGUUGGUGAGGUAACGGCCCACCAAGGCGACGAUGCGUAGCCGACCUGAGAGGGUGACCGGCCACACUGGGACUGAGACACGGCCCAGACUCCUACGGGAGGCAGCAGUAGGGAAUCUUCCACAAUGGGCGAAAGCCUGAUGGAGCAACGCCGCGUGAGUGAUGAAGGCCUUCGGGUUGUAAACUCUGUCAUUCGGGACGAACCGGAGUCUGAGGAAAUGCAGACUCUCUGACGGUACCGGAGGAGGAAGCCCCGGCUAAC